CAAUCCUCGGUGGGAGCA
rnacentral:misc_RNA from 1 species